AUGCUUCCUUCUGCAGCAUAUAUACUAAAAUUGGAACAAUACAAGUUAGCAUGGCUCCUACGCAAGGAUGACAUGCAUACAAAUUUGAUUAGUAGAAAAUUAAU